rnacentral:rRNA from 1 species
AUGCUACAUUUGUUGUCUUGUGAUGUGAAUAAGGUGUCCACGUCCACAAGACAUCAACUCAUUGGGAUAAAGCAGCGUGAUACUGGAUUGGCUCCACCAAGCCAGUGGGAUCUCGUGCCUGAUAAACAGAUGAUGCUAGAGGAGCAACCAUUGCAGUGUGAUGCAGGACAGGAAGAAAUUCAAAUAGUAACAAGAGGCUUGGGCACAAAGAUCCAGGACGAUAUAUAUGCUCUAUGUAUGCAAAUCUACCUAGCGAGCUUGAAACGAAGAUUUUUGAGACAAAGAGAGGGAUAA